UACAGAGGAGCCAAGCGUUGUCCGGAUUGACUGGGCGUAAAGCGCACGCAGGCGGACGCGCGCGCGGGGUGUGAAAUCUGGCCGCUUAACGGCCAGGCGCCAUCCCAUACGGCGCGUCUGGAGUGAUGCAGAGGUCGAUGGAAUUGCCGGUGUAGUGGUGAAAUGCGUAGAGAUCGGCAGGAACACCCAGGGGGAAACCAGUCGACUGGGCAUCUACUGACGCUGAGGUGCGAGAGCGUGGGGAGCGAACCGG
rnacentral:rRNA from 1 species